UUAAGGGUGCAGGGCGAAUGCCUUGGCACUAGGAGCCGAUGAAGGACGUGAUAAGCUGCGAUAAGCUUCGGGGAGUUGCACGUAAACUUUGAUCCGAAGAUUUCCGAAUGAGGAAACUCACUUAGAGUAAUGUCUAAGUAUCGUUAAGUGAAUACAUAGCUUAGCGAGGGGAACCCGGGGAACUGAAACAUCUAAGUACCCGGAGGAAGAGAAAGAAAUUCGAUUCCGUAAGUAGCGGCGAGCGAACGCGGAACAGGCCAAACCAAUGAAGUUUACUUCGUUGGGGUUGCGGACAUACAACAUGGAUGCAAUAUCGUAAAUGAAGAGAGUUGGAAAGCUCCGCCAUAGAAGGUAAUAGCCCUGUAGUUGAAACGAGAAAGCUACUAGUAUGAUCCAGAGUACCACGGGACACGUGAAACCCUGUGGGAAGCAGGAGGGACCAUCCUCCAAGCCUAAAUACUACCUAGUGACCGAUAGCGUAUAGUACCGUGAGGGAAAGGUGAAAAGAACCCCGGGAGGGGAGUGAAAGAGAACCUGAAACCCUGCACUUACAAGCUGUAGGAGCACAUUAUUUGUGUGACUGCGUACUUUUUGUAGAACGGGCCAACGAGUUACGUUGUGUAGCAAGGUUAAGCACUUAAGGUGUGGAGCCGUAGCGAAAGCGAGUCUUAAAUGGGCGAUUAAGUUACUUGGCGUAGACCCGAAACCGGGCGACCUAUCCAUGAGCAGGUUGAAGCGAAAGUAAAAUUUCGUGGAGGACCGAACCCACGAGCGUUGAAAAGCUCGGGGAUGACUUGUGGAUAGCGGUGAAAUUCCAAUCGAGCCCGGAGAUAGCUGGUUCUCCCCGAAAUAGCUUUAGGGCUAGCCUCAAGCGUAGAGAAACGGAGGUAGAGCACUGAAUGUCCUAGGGGGUAUUGCACUUACCGAAGACUAUCAAACUCCGAAUGCCGUUUUCUUUUACUUGGGAGUCAGACUGUGGGUGAUAAGAUUCAUAGUCAAAAGGGCAACAGCCCAGAUCGUCAGCUAAGGUCCCUAAAUGUACGUUAAGUGGUAAAGGAUGUGGGAUUGCACAGACAACCAGGAUGUUGGCUUAGAAGCAGCCACUCAUUUAAAGAGUGCGUAAUAGCUCACUGGUCGAGUGAUCCUGCGCCGAAAAUUUCCGGGGCUAAAACGUACUACCGAAGCUACGGCAUCAUUUAUGAUGGGUAGGGGAGCUUCGUAUGCAGGCUGAAGCAUGACCGUAAGGACAUGUGGACAGUAUACGAGUGAGAAUGUUGGCAUGAGUAGCGAGACGUGGGUGAGAAUCCCACGGGCCGUAAACCCAAGGUUUCCAGGGGAAGGUUCGUCCGCCCUGGGUUAGUCGGGACCUAAGCCGAGGCCGAAAGGCGUAGGUGAUGGACAACAGGUUGAUAUUCCUGUACCGCCAAUAAGCGUUUGAGAGAUGGAGUGACACAGUAGGAUAAGCUAACCGUACUGUUGGUUAUGUACGGCUAAGCAUUGAGGCAGUCUAAAUAGGCAAAUCCGUUUAGACAAUGCUAGGAUGUGAUGGGGAAGCCCUUCGGGGCGAAGUAGCUGAUUUCACACUGUCAAGAAAAGCUUCUAUCGAGUUUAAAGGCGCCCGUACCGUAAACCGACACAGGUGGGUGAGGAGAGUAUCCUAAGGCCAGCGAGAGAACUAUUGUUAAGGAACUCGGCAAAAUGACCCCGUAACUUAGGGAGAAGGGGUGCCUGUCUAUGACAGGCCGCAGAGAAUAGGCCCAAGCGACUGUUUACCAAAAACACAGGUUUCUGCUAAGUCGCAAGACGAUGUAUAGGAGCUGACGCCUGCCCGGUGCUGGAAGGUUAAGGGGAUCUGUUAGAGCAAUCGAAGCAGUGAACUUAAGCCCCAGUAAACGGCGGCCGUAACUAUAACGGUCCUAAGGUAGCGAAAUUCCUUGUCGGGUAAGUUCCGACCC
rnacentral:rRNA from 1 species